rnacentral:rRNA from 1 species
AGCAGCCGCGGUAAUUCCAGCUCCAAUAGCGUAUAUUAAAGUUGUUGCAGUUAAAAAGCUCGUAGUUGAAUUUCGGGGUUAGCAGGUCGGUCGUGCCAUCGGUAUGAACUGGUCUCGCUGAUCCCUCCCUCUUGACGAACUGUGAUGCCAUUAAUUUGGUGUCGCAGGGAAUCAGGACUGUUACUUUGAAAAAUUAGAGUGUUUAAAGCAGGCUCACGCUUGAAUACAUUAGCAUGGAAUAAUGAAAUAGGACGUUUGAUCCUAUUUUGUUGGCUUCUAGGAUUGACGUAAUGAUUAAUAGGGAUAGUUGGGGGCAUUAGUAUUCAAUUGUCAGAGGUGAAAUUCUUGGAUUUAUUGAAGACUAACUACUGCGAAAGCAUUUGCCAAGGAUGUUUUCAUUAAUCAAGAACGAAAGUUAGGGGAUCGAAGACGAUCAGAUACCGUCGUAGUCUUAACCAUAAACUAUGCCGACUAGGGAUCGGAUGAUGUUAAUUUUUA